rnacentral:rRNA from 1 species
GGCUUAGAAGCAGCCACCCUUUAAAGAAAGCGUAAUAGCUCACUAGUCGAGUCGGCCUGCGCGGAAGAUGUAACGGGGCUCAAACCACACACCGAAGCUGCGGGUGUCACGCAAGUGACGCGGUAGAGGAGCGUUCUGUAAGCCUGUGAAGGUGAGUUGAGAAGCUUGCUGGAGGUAUCAGAAGUGCGAAUGCUGACAUGAGUAACGACAAUGGGUGUGAAAA